AACGAACGCUGGCGGCAGGCCUAACACAUGCAAGUCGAACGCCCCGCAAGGGGAGUGGCAGACGGGUGAGUAACACGUGGGAACCUUCCCUAUAGUACGGAAUAGCCCAGGGAAACUUGGAGUAAUACCGUAUACGCCCGAAAGGGGAAAGAUUUAUCGCUAUAGGAUGGGCCCGGGUAGGAUUAGCUAGUUGGUGAGGUAAUGGCUCACCAAGGCCACGAUCCUUAGCUGGUUUGAGAGGACGGCCAGCCACACUGGGACUGAGACACGGCCCAGACUCCUACGGGGGGCAACAGUGGGGAAUAUUGGACAAUGGGCGCAAGCCUUAUCCAGCCAUGCCGCGUGAGUGAUGAAAGCCUUAGGGUUGUAAAGCUCUUUUGGCGGGGACGAUAAUGACGGUACCCGCAGAAUAAGUCCCGGCUAACUUCGUGCCAGCCGCCGCAGUAACAC
rnacentral:rRNA from 1 species